GAUGAACGCUGGCGGCGUGCCUAAUACAUGCAAGUCGAACGAACAGACGCGGCGCUUGCUCCUCUCACGUUAGCGGCGGACGGGUGAGUAACACGUGUAUCCCCUACCUAUCAUACUGGUAUAACUUGGGGACACCGGAGCUAAUACCGUAUAAUCUCUUGAACCGCAUGGUUCAUUAGUAAAUUACGGUCUUUCUGUCUCUUAUCGCUGCAUCUGCGCCGCAUUAGCUAGUUGUUAAGGUAAAGGCCUACCAAGGCAACGAUGCGUAGCCGAACUGAGAGGGUGAUAGGCGACACUGGAACUGGGACACGCUCCAGGCGACUACGAGAGGGAGCAGUAGGGAACCUGACGCAAUGGUCGAAAGCAUGACGGAGCAAGCGGGAGUGAGUGAUGAAGGUCCUGCGAGCGUAAAACUCUGUUACUAGGGAAGAACAAAUGUGGAAUGAACCGUGCACGGCUUGACGGUACCUAAUAAGAAAGCAACGGCUAACUACGUG
rnacentral:rRNA from 1 species